rnacentral:rRNA from 1 species
AUGGUUGGCGAGAAAGUAGUCGGAGAUGCGGUGCCACGCCAUGUAGGCGGUGACAGCGCCAUCAGUGAUGAGCUCGAGGAGAGGAUCGGCGAGGGUGAGGAGGAUCCAGAGUGCCAUGCGGUGGUCGAUGGCGAGCCAAGCGGCAUCGGCAUUAGCAGGUGGGGGGCGAUCGACGUGAUCCUCGACGCGGUAUUGGCUAAGAACGAUGCGGAAGAAAGUGCGCCACUUAGAGAAAUUCUUCCCCGCCGAAUCCAGCUUGAAUUUGAUGUAGCUGGAGAUGUGGUCGUUGUGGUUGGUGAGCGGAGGCUGGGAGGAGGAGGGAGCGGCGUUGAGGGGAAAGUUAGUGGCGGCGGUGGUGGAGAGAGGGGCCAGGGUGGUGGAGGGGAGGGGAGAUGUCCCAGAGUGAACCGACGAGGAGGAGGAGGAGGAGUGGGUGGCCGGGGAGGUACAAAAAUAAUUAUUGGGGUCGCUAUUGGGGUGGUCCUCUUACUUUUGGCUCUCAUUGCAUACUUCACUUCCUACAAAUUUAAGCAUUGGAGCACACAAAGUUUGAAAUGGAAGUAUUUCAAGAAAAAACAUGGGCAAUUAUUGCAACAGUUGGUACCUCAAAGGGCUGAUAUUGCAGAGAAAAUGAUCAUAACCUUGGAAGGUCUAGAGAAAGCAACAAACAAUUUCGAUAAAGCGCAUGAACUCGGUAGAGGCGGGCAUGCUAUCGUCUAUAAAGGGAUUUUGUCAGACCUCCAUAUUGUGGCCAUCAAGAAACCAACAAUGGUGGGUCAAAGGGAGAUUGAUGAGUUUAUUAAUGAGGUUGCUAUCCUAUCACAAAUCAACCACAGGAAUAUUGUAAAACUAUAUGGUUGUUGUCUUGAAACAGAAGUACCAUUGUUGGUCUAUGAGUUCAUAUCCAAUGGAACUCUUUAUGGUCAUCUCCAUGUUGAAGGACCAAGAUCAUUACCAUGGGAUGCUAGGCUACGUAUAGCAACUGAAAUAGCAAAAUCUCUAGCCUAUCUUCACUCAACAGCUAUAAUACCUAUCAUCCACGGAGAUGUCAAGCCUGCUAACAUACUUCUGGACGAUACACUAACAGCAAAGAUAGCAGACUUUGGCGCUUCAAGGUAUAUUUCAUUGGACAAAGUAGGGUUAACAAGAAUGGUCCAAGGUACAAUAGGAUAUAUGGACCCGAUGUACUUCCGCACGUGCCGCCUCACGGUGAAAAGUGAUGUUUAUAGCUUCGGUGUUAUGCUUAUAGAGUUGAUGACGAGAAAGAAGCCAUUCAACUAUAUGGAUUCUGAAGGCAAUGGCCUCGUGGCACAUUUUUCUACCUUAUUUGCAGAAGGCAGUCUGUCACAAGUAUUAGAUCCACAAGUUAUGGAUGAGGGGGGCAAUAAAAUAGAAGAAAUUGCCGGAAUUGCGAUAUCAUGUGUAAAAUUAAGAGGGGAGGAACGACCAACCAUGAGACAAGUGGAGAUGAGGCUGGAAGCCGCUCAACCACACGAGGAAUUUGAAACAAUUUCUCCAUCAACUAGAGAUGGAGGAAGCAGCGAGGGAUUGACAAGUAGGCAAUAUAGCAUAGAAGAAGAGUACAUGUUGUCUGCAAGAUAUCCACGGUAG